AACAAACAUAAAUCUAUUGAAUAACAACCUAACCAAAACUGGCCAAGCCCACAAACAACAUAAGUCGACGAAUAACCAAAUCAAAAUGAGAUCUAGCCAACACACAACAAUAAAUCGAUGAACACAAAUCAAAUCAAAAUGAAACAUAACCCAACCAUAAAUCAUAAACGAUAAAUGAAAUUUGAACCAAAAGAAAUAAUG
rnacentral:lncRNA from 1 species